AUACGUAGGUGGCAAGCGUUGUCCGGAAUUACUGGGUGUAAAGGGUGCGUAGGCGGGGAUGCAAGUCAGAUGUGAAAUCUAUCGGCUCAACUGGUAAACUGCAUUUGAAACUGCAUUUCUUGAGUGGUGGAGAGGUAAGCGGAAUUCCUAGUGUAGCGGUGAAAUGCGUAGAUAUUAGGAGGAACACCAGUGGCGAAGGCGACUUCCUGGCACAAUACUGACGCUCAUGGGCGAAAGCUAGGGGAGCGAACGGGAUUAGAUACCCCGGUAGUCCUAGCCGUAAACGAUGGAUACUAGGUGUGGGUGUCGCAGGGCAUCCGUGCCGCAGCUAACGCGUUAAGUAUCCCGCCUGGGGACUACGGUCGCAAGACUGAAACUCAAAUGAAUUGGCGG
rnacentral:rRNA from 1 species